rnacentral:rRNA from 1 species
GAUGAACGCUGGCGGCGUGCCUAAUACAUGUAAGUCGAGCGAACGGACGAGAAGCUUGCUUUUCUGAUGUUAGCGGCGGACGGGUGAGUAACACGUGGAUAACCUACCUAUAAGACUGGGAUAACUUCGGGAAACCGGAGCUAAUACCGUAUAAUAUUUUGAACCGCAUGGUUCAAAAGUGAAAGACGGUCUUGCUGUCACUUAUAGAUGGAUCCGCGCUGCAUUAGCUAGUUGGUAAGGUAACGGCUUACCAAGGCAACGAUGCAUAGCCGACCUGAGAGGGUGAUCGGCCACACUGGAACUGAGACACGGUCCAGACUCCUACGGGAGGCAGCAGUAGGGAAUCUUCCGCAAUGGGCGAAAGCCUGACGGAGCAACGCCGCGUGAGUGAUGAAGGUCUUCGGAUCGUAAAACUCUGUUAUUAGGGAAGAACAUAUGUGUAAGUAACUGUGCACAUCUUGACGGUACCUAAUCAGAAAGCCACGGCUAACUACGUG